rnacentral:rRNA from 1 species
GACGAACGCUGGCGGCGUGCUUAACACAUGCAAGUCGAACGGAAAGGCCCUGCUUUUGUGGGGUGCUCGAGUGGCGAACGGGUGAGUAACACGUGAGUAACCUGCCCUUGACUUUGGGAUAACUUCAGGAAACUGGGGCUAAUACCGGAUAGGAGCUCCUGCUGCAUGGUGGGGGUUGGAAAGUUUCGGCGGUUGGGGAUGGACUCGCGGCUUAUCCGCUGGUUGGUGGGGUAGUGGCUUACCAAGGCUUUGACGGGUAGCCGGCCUGAGAGGGUGACCGGCCACAUUGGGACUGAGAUACGGCCCAGACGGCUACGGGAGGCAGCAGUGGGGAAUAUUGCACAAUGGGCGGAAGCCUGAUGUAGCAACGCCGCGUGCGGGAUGACGGCCUUCGGGUUGUAAACCGCUUUCGCCUGUGACGAAGCGUGAGUGACGGUAAUGGGUAAAGAAGCACCGGCUAACUACGUG